rnacentral:rRNA from 1 species
CCUACGGGAGGCAGCAGUGGGGAAUAUUGCACAAUGGGCGGAAGCCUGAUGCAGCGACGCCGCGUGAGGGAUGACGGCCUUCGGGUUGUAAACCUCUUUCAGCAGGGACGAAGCGCAAGUGACGGUACCUGCAGAAGAAGCGCCGGCCAACUACGUGCCAGCAGCCGCGGUAAGACGUAGGGCGCGAGCGUUGUCCGGAUUUAUUGGGCGUAAAGAGCUCGUAGGCGGCUUGUCGCGUCGACUGUGAAAACCCGCGGCUCAACUGCGGGCCUGCAGCCGAUACGGGCAGGCUAGAGUUCGGUAGGGGAGACUGGAAUUCCUGGUGUAGCGGUGAAAUGCGCAGAUAUCAGGAGGAACACCGGUGGCGAAGGCGGGUCUCUGGGCCGAUACUGACGCUGAGGAGCGAAAGCGUGGGGAGCGAACAGGAUUAGAUACCCUGGUAGUCCACGCUGUAAACGUUGGGCGCUAGGUGUGGGGGGCCUCUCCGGUUCUCUGUGCCGCAGCUAACGCAUUAAGCGCCCCGCCUGGGGAGUACGGCCGCAAGGCUAAAACUCAAAUGAAUUGACGG